UGCGUAGGUGGCGGGGUAAGUUUGAUGUGAAAUCUCCGGGCUUAACCCGGAAACUGCAUUGAAUACUAUUCUGCUCGAGGGUUGGAGGGGGGACGUGGAAUACUUGGUGUAGCAGUGAAAUGCGUAGAUAUCAAGUGGAACACCAGUGGCGAAGGCGAGUCCCUGGACAACUCCUGACACUGAGGCACGAAAGCUAGGGGAGCAAACA
rnacentral:rRNA from 1 species